rnacentral:rRNA from 1 species
AAAAAAGGUAAGCUACUAAGAGCGAAUGGUGGAUGCCUUGACUGGUAAAGGCGAUGAAGGACGUACUAGACUGCGAUAAGCUACGGGGAGCUGUCAAGAAGCUUUGAUCCGUAGAUUUCCGAAUGGGGCAACCCAAUGUAUAGAGAUAUACAUUACCUAUAUAGGAGCGAACGAGGGGAAUUGAAACAUCUUAGUACCCUCAGGAAAAGAAAUCAAUAGAGAUUGCGUCAGUAGCGGCGAGCGAAAGCGCAAGAGGGCAAACCCAGUGCUUGCACUGGGGGUUGUAGGACUGCAAUGUGCAAGAGGUGAGUUUAGCAGAACAUUCUGGAAAGUAUAGCCAUAGAGGGUGAUAGUCCCGUAUGCGAAAAACAAACCUUAGCUAGCAGUAUCCUGAGUAGGGCGGGACACGAGAAAUCCUGUCUGAAGCUGGGUCGACCACGAUCCAACCCUAAAUACUAAUACCAGAUCGAUAGUGCACAAGUACCGUGAGGGAAAGGUGAAAAGAACUGAGGUGAUCAGAGUGAAAUAGAACCUGAAACCAUUUGCUUACAAUCAUUCAGAGCACUAUGUAGCAAUACAGUGUGAUGGACUGCCUUUUGCAUAAUGAGCCUGCGAGUUGUGGUGUCUGGCAAGGUUAAGCAAACGCGAAGCCGUAGCGAAAGCGAGUCUGAAUAGGGCGCUUAGUCAGAUGCUGCAGACCCGAAACGAAGUGAUCUAUCCAUGAGCAAGUUGAAGCUAGUGUAAGAACUAGUGGAGGACUGAACCCAUAGGCGUUGAAAAGCCCCGGGAUGACUUGUGGAUAGGGGUGAAAGGCCAAUCAAACUUCGUGAUAGCUGGUUCUCUCCGAAAUAUAUUUAGGUAUAGCGUUGUGUCGUAAUAUAAGGGGGUAGAGCACUGAAUGGGCUAGGGCAUACACCAAUGUACCAAACCCUAUCAAACUCCGAAUACCUUAUAUGUAAUCACAGCAGUCAGGCGGCGAGUGAUAAAAUCCGUCGUCAAGAGGGAAACAACCCAGACUACCAGCUAAGGUCCCUAAAUCUUACUUAAGUGGAAAACGAUGUGAAGUUACUUAAACAACCAGGAGGUUGGCUUAGAAGCAGCCAUCCUUUAAAGAAAGCGUAAUAGCUCACUGGUCUAGUGAUUUUGCGCGGAAAAUAUAACGGGGCUAAAGUAAGUACCGAAGCUGUAGACUUG